rnacentral:lncRNA from 1 species
CUCUUGAGCUCUUGUGGUGACCUGGGAAUCAAUGUGUGAGGUGGUGCUAUGUAGCAGGAACCCCUCUUGCUUUGCAAAUAGUUUUUUGUUUGUUUUCCUUUUUGCCCAAUAGAGCCCUGCUCUACUGACCCUUCAAUGUGCCCGUGUGCCUAAAUAUUCCUGGUCGUGUGAAAAGAACCCAGGUAUUAGCUGAACUAAGGAGCACAAUUCUGCAACAUUUUGGCACCCAAACACGGGGCUUGAGAAAUGAAUGCAAUUGGAGAAACUGGUUGUUUUACCAGGCGUUGAUUGGAAAUGUGUGCUUCCCUUUAAGCAGUCAAGCUCAACUUGCAGAACUGAUGGGAACCCCUUGGGAAAACUGGCCUCAAAUGUUUGUCUACACAGUCCACAUACAGGGUUCUUAACCUGCGGAAACACUUUCUGAAAAUGUCAGAACUCUUGAAAACAUGGAUGAGGAAAAGCAUAAGUACUGCUUUAUGCUUUUCUUAUGAAUUUUAAAAGAUGUAAUUUAAAGCAUAUUUAACUAUCCGGCUAUUUUGGAGAUUGAAAAAAGAAGACCUGAUUUAUCAUGUGCAAUAUCUCACACAUCUGUCAUUUCUAUUCUACCGCAAUUCGAUGGAGUCUUGUUCUGUGGUCCAGGCUAGAGGGCAGUGGCAUGAUCUCGGCUCACUACAAGCUCUGCCUCCCGGGUUCACGCCAUUCUCCUGCCUCAGCCUCCUGAGUAGCUGGGACUACAGGCGCCCGCCACCACGCCUGGCUAAUUUUUUGUAUAUUUACUAGAGAUGGCUAGUGUUAGCCAAGAUGGUCUCGAUCUCCUGACCUCGUGAUCUGCCCACCUCAGCCUGCCAAAGUGCUGGGAUUACUGGCGUGAGCCACCGUGCCUGGCCAGCAUCCUCUAAUUAUUAUUCAUAGUUUGUGAAUUUAGGCCUACGUGAAUAAUAAUAUAAUAUUUACUAUGAUGUUACUAUCUACCAACCUUAUUUUUCUUUUCUAUAAAAUAGGAGCCAAAAUAAUAUUUAUGUCAUACCUUAUGAAGUUAAAAUAAAAUAUAACGAAUGAGGGGCUUAACAA